UACCAAGUUGGCUACUCAUUUCGUCAAAUGUCUACAACCUUUAUUGCAGAAAAGUUAAAGUCAAGAAUUCAAAAUGUUUUUGGUACACGUUAUAAGAUAUAAGUUGUAAUGAUGAAAGUAUAUGUUACUUGGUUGUUAUUUUACAUUUACAUGUAAAUAAACAUGUAAAUUAUGUGUAGAAGCUUAGAAGGCAUGUAACAAGCAGUGUAUGUAGUAUGAGUAUGUACCAGUACCACAGUGUUAGAGGCCUUGAGAGUACUUUAAUCUUUAGUCUGUUACAAGAUGUAUGUCCGCGCAAUACGACAUUACUGGCUAUGGCGGUGACGGGUGGUGGUGGAGGCGACGGGUGAUAACAGAGACGAUGAGGGCGAGGUAACAAUAUCUUAUAAACAAAUUAUUUGGGCUUGGGUUUGCCAAUAUCUUAUAAAUAGACUAUUUGGGCUUGGGUUUGACAAUACCUACCGGUGACAAUACCAUUAGGUCCAGUACCACGAUAUUUGAGGGUAACUUAAUCUUUAGUCUUGUGAGUUAGUCAGCCGAAGAACAUUUUUUGGGCUUGGGUUUGCCAAUAUCUCUAACCUAUUGUUGUAUUGUUUACGUGUAUUUCCUUUUCAUGUCAUAUUAAAGAAAAUUGAAAAGAAGUAAAGAAUGAUAUAUUUUUCAUGCGUUA